rnacentral:sRNA from 17 species
CCAGUAACAUCAUUUGGAUGUGCAGCUUUAUCGAUAGAAGCACCUUCAACCAUUAAGAAGAAGCCUUUAUUGUUCUUAUCUAAUUUACUUAAUGCACUUUGUUC